CCUCCCGGCCCAGCGGAGUGCUCGAUGCCAUGCGCCUAGCACAGGUGGCACGGCUGGCUGACGGGAAGGAGACGUGUUAACGCUGUGCCAGAAAUGUGAUUCACAGAAUCUGACAGUCUCGAUUGGCCUUGCUGAUAAUUUCAUUAUCAGCCCUCAGUUAGGGCUGCUUCUUUGAAUUCCAUUCUCCCCAAGGAGAAAAUGGUGGUGAUGGAAUCACUGUGGGUAAAUCAACCCUGUCAGCUCAUGUUAAGCCAGAGAGGAAAAGACUGGGCAGAGCCAGGCAGGUAGUGUCUCCCUGAAGAAGGGAAGCUUUCAAAGAUGGUUCAGGAUUCGAAGGAUGGACUCUGGAAGACACCGUGUUUGUUGGGAAGCUGGCUUGGCUUCUGUAUCUCAGCCGCUCCUGAUUACGUAGAAAGGGCAGCGCUCCCUAAAGAGGCCCCUGAACAGAGAGCUGCCCAAGACAAAAUCAAGCAGAGCCCAGACCAAGACGACAUGUGAGAGAGAGGCACGGGACCUAUCAGAACAUACCUUCCCUCCCCAUCCUUCUGAGAGGGAACCCCGUCAGAGCGGUGAGGGUCUGAUAGCCUCACGCCAAAGGUGCUUAGGGGGAGGAAGAACUCUCCUGUCCUGGUUUGCUGGCGUCCUUUUUGAGAGAAUAUUUGCAUAACGGAAAAGGAGGGUAGAUCCGGGGCUCGCACUCUCCUUGAAGAAUGUGACCAGACCUGUCUCCCCAGAAACUGCACUGUGCACAAAAAAAUUUGAAGAAAUGCAGCUCAUCCAUAAACUUGGAAUUUACAAAUCUGUGGAAUGGGUGCUAGGUCUCAAAAGGAAAUUAAAACUACCCCCUCUGAAUUAAAACUAACAAGAUCCAUAGCUUAAAUGAAUGUGUACUAAGAUAGUAACUCAGUGGCCAAAUAUUGUUCGUGAUUUCUUUUUUGAGGACUUGAGACGGGAGGGGCAUCAGAAGGCCAACAAAUAUAUUUCCAAUUUUUCCAGAGUAAAAGAAGGUAGAUUCCCCAGAGAGGCUGGUGGAGCUUGGAGCUUGAUGUUUUACCUGUGUAAGGUUCUAGAAAGUGUUUCUAAAGAGAUGAUAUCUGAGCAUUUUGGAAAGGAAACCGUGUACCCACAGCCAGCAUGGAUUCACGAAGAGCGCUACACUGUAAGAGGCACAUAGACAAAUAGAUGGCUUUCAGAAGACAGUAGAUGGUGAGGGGGACUCAGAUCCUGUCUUUCGAGGAGUGGUUAAAGGAAGUUGGACGUAUUUAGCCUGGAGAAGAGAAGACUCGGUAGGGACUUGCCGUGAGAGCACUUCAUGUAUGUGGAGUUGGGGUCCUAUAGAAAGUGGGUUGAACCUAUUUCUGUCGGCUCUGACAGUUUCUGGAAAUAACCUGGGGACAGGUUUGACUCUAGCACAGGGAGAACUUUCUGUUAAGAGCUCCAAAAGUGAACCACACACAUUUGGUAGAGUUGAGUCUCUCGUCCUGGUACAUGGUCAAGCAUCAAGGAAGAAAUUGGGCCAAACAACUUGCCAGGGCUCUGUGAAAUCGAGCCCCGGGGUCAACAGCAUUUCUUCAGGGAUCCCAGGACUGUCCUUGCAACAUGCUGUUUGAGUCCCAGACCCACUUUUAGGAAUCUUUCUAAAUUCAGUGUACCCAGAAGUUGGUGCUCAAUCUGCUGGGCUCAGGAGGUGACCCCUGUCUGCCAGUGCUACCAGGGCCUUGGAUGUACUGGAAUUUAGGGAGGUGGGAAAUUAGAUCCUGCUUCUCCUCCCCACUGCUAGCCGACCCAGCAGUUCGUGGUCUGGGACCAUGUGGCACGCUGGAAAUUUUGCAGCUCACUGACCACUGACUGCAUGACCUUUCCCCCUCAUCUUCUCUUCUGUCGGUUUCUGUCCCCGACCCUGGGGGAGCCCUCCAAAGCACGUGGCUCCAGCUCCUAGGGUGAGAUUCCUUCUCAUCGCUCAGUAGGUAGAGGCUCUGCCCAAGUCCCCACCUCCUCUCUUCCCAGCUUGGAAUCAGCCUUUUUCUCUGUGCUGGCUCUCAGCAGUUCUUCUCUCCUACCAGUGUUUCACUCUCCUCUCCAGGCCCUGGUGUGGCCCUCUUAACAAGGGGCUUUCGUCCUGCUGUGCAUUGGGGUCCGUCUCCUAUGUUAGCCAUCUCAGAGCACCCCUUCAGUCUCUCCUACUCCAAGGCCAUUGAGAUUUGGUUCCUACAUUGGCAGUGGUUUCCUGAGUUUCCUGGUCUCUUUAAACCAGAUGAUAAUGAAGAAAAUCUUUCCUAGUUGGGGAAACGUUGGAGGUCCCCUUUUCGUGUGUGGCCCAGCUGCGAGGCUCUUGUUCCUACUUGAGAUCUAUCCUUCAGAGUAGUUUUCUUACUCAAAACUUCAGUAAAAGUGUAUGCACAACGUGUCUAGGAAUUUUGCUUUCUAGAGCAAUAUCUUCUACCUUCCUGUUCCUGAAAUUCAACCGUAGUUGAGAGCCAUUGUCUCUAAGAUCCCCUCCUUUGGCAUUGUCUUCUGUCAGGUUAUGGCAGAGCAGUGAACACCAAGUUCUUUUCUCUGUACUUCCUUCUAGUGGUCUCCAGAAUGAUUUAGCCACAAAAAAAGUAGAAAUGACACAUAGUCUUAUAUGGAUCCUGACACACUAAUCCCUUAAUCCGUUUACUCAUUUGUUCAUUCGGCUCAUUCCACGAGUCUGCCUACCCUGUGUCAGGCACUGUUCUUUAGGUGCUGGAGUUCAGCAGUGAACCAGACAAACCCCUGCCCUUGAGGUUCCUACACCGGGGGGACCACCAUAAGCAGAUCGCAGUAACUAUAGAGAAGGAGGAGGUGCCUUUAACAAGCAUGCCUCAUAUAUUGCCCUCAAGUUCUCAUGUCCCUGUCUCCCUAAUAGCUGACCCUGUGGGCCAGUACACUAAUAUAAAUUCUCCUCUCCCCGCCCCCGUCUCCUCCCCCAUACUGGGAAGCUUCAUGGCAUUUCUCUUCCAGCUUCUUGAGGAUGCUCAAACUCCAGGUUUUCUAAUUUUGUCUAUUGAAUCCCCAAGGGGGAUUUGGAAAAAAUGGCCCAAGAAAGGCAUACGAUGCGUACCCUAUCCAGCAGUUUGAACACCGGUAAAUCUUUGGGGUGGAGUUAGAAACCUUCUUAAAAGCAUGCUUUAAGGAUUGCUUGAUGUGAUGUUUUCCCAAACCUGUUUCCUGAUUUUGUUGGUUCAUUCAUUUAUGUAUUAAAUAUCACACUCUUCUAUGUGCUGGGCACUGCAUCGGUGCUGGGGGUUCAAAGAUUCGUAAAAAUAGACAUGAACGUGGUAUUUAUAAAACUUAUAGUCUAGCAUGGGAGAUGGCAGUCAUGUAAUCUCACAGACGUAAAGACAACUUUGUCCGUGCUGGUGACCAGUCUGGAAGCUAUGGCAGUGAUGUGGGGGCGAGAUCCGAAGGUGGUCAGUAGGUCAGCAGGCCAAGGGGAAAGCCUGUGUGAGGAAGGCCUUUUGGGAAGGGCAGUAACAAAGUACAUGACAGAAGAGCUCCCUGUAGGGUCUCUCGAGACCUGCCAGCUCCCCACAAGGGAACCAGAGCUAUAGCAUUUUCCACAUGCAUUUGGCCAUGGGACGUUUCCUCGAACGUUUCUCAGGACCGAUCUUACACUUGGACAUACCUCAGGAAACAAUGGUUCGUUGUGACCUGGGCCACUCAAACACAAA